UCUUGCCACUGGAUCUUGGCAGUAUGAGGCCACAUCAUUUCAAGCUGUGAACAACAGAGGGAAUGACCAGGCUCAUCCUGCAAUUUGUCCCACUUCACUGGAAUACUUAGAAAUUGUUAAGCAAAAUUCCCUGAUGAUGUCACGGAAAUGUUAAACCCAUUAUGCUAAGCUAGGACCUCCAUCUACCGUGACCUCUUGGCACUAGCUUCUAAGGACAGCAUGAUACUUUUACAUGAAAGUUAGUCUUCCUUCGGGUCAUCGAUAGAUGGACUUGAUACACCGGCACUUCAGUCAACACGGGUAAAAUUUAAGCAAGGCCAUGUAAAAAGCCCAAAUCCGUUUUGUGUUUACAAUAAAGUGAUUAAAACAUC